UAUGGUAAAAAUAUUGUUGCACGCCCAGGAGGGGGUGCAAGGGCCAUUGUAGGGUAAAAUUGGUGAUUUGUGUGCGCUUGAGGCCCACCGAACCCAAGUGAGACCACAUGAGAGGGAGAAGGGUCAGAUACCUCAAUUCACACUCUCAUUCCAAACUCCAAACGCGCAACCUCUCUUUCUAACCAGUUACGCCGGAGAACAACCUCCACCGCCCCGGAAAUCGUCUCCGACGGCGACGGAGCUCCAAUCAGCCUCAACCAAACGUCAUGGUCCCCUAUCUCUUAUUCUACUAUCUAUUUCUCUCAAAACCUAACCAAAAUCCCUAACCGAGCUGAAAAUACCAUGAACCCUAACCUCAUAAAUCAGAAAUUAAACGCAAGGAGGGAGGAAUCAAAUCCUAAUUCCUCAGGGCUUUGAUUCAUCGACCAUCAAUCUACAUUGUGGUAGCUGAAUCUAGGCGAGAAUGGAGUUAGAAUCCUACCUACGAGGACGAGAUUCUCCCGGGUGAAGGUUGAAAUCGAAGUAGCUGAAGACGAAGAAAUUGCACUCAGGUUCAUUGCAGCUUGGAUUUGGAUUAAGAAGCAUGGAAAUGGAAACAUUUUGCACCUUUCAAAUUUAUGUUUCAUGUAUGGGAUGAAUGUAGGUCGUGUUGAUUAUGUAAGUAAUGUAGUGUAUAGCAUGUACCCUUGGUUCAAUUUUUUUUAUUUUCAAUUUUCAAUAGUGGUAUGUGAGGUAUGUAUGAGUGAUGCAGAGAUGAUGGGAUGUGUGGUGUAAGGAUUUGAUGAUGAUGUAAUGUAAUUGUAACCCAGUUUCAAUUGAAAUGAAAUGGUUUUAUUUCCCCUUCAA